rnacentral:rRNA from 1 species
UUCAAUAGCGUAUAUUAAAGUUGUUGCAGUUAAAAAGCUCGUAGUUGAAUUUCGGGAUCAAUAUAUUGGUCGUGCCUCCGGUGCGUACUGGUAUCGUUGAUUUCUACCUUCUGACGAACCAUGAUGUCAUUUAUUUGGUGUCGUGGGGAAUCAGGACUGUUACUUUGAAAAAAUUAGAGUGUUUAAAGCAGGCUCACGCUUGAAUACAUUAGCAUGGAAUAAUGAAAUAGGACGUUUGAUUCUAUUUUGUUGGUUUCUAGGAUCGACGUAAUGAUUAAUAGGGAUAGUUGGG